rnacentral:rRNA from 1 species
GAGUUUGAUCAUGGCUCAGGAUGAACGCUGGCGGUAUGCUUAACACAUGCAAGUCGAACGAAAGUUUUCCAACUUUAGUGGCGAACGGGUGCGUAAUACGUGAGAAUCUACCCUUAGGAGGAGAAUAACUGCUGGAAACGGCUGCUAAGUCUCCAUAUGCCGAGAGGUGAAAUAGUUUUACUGCCUAAGGAUGAGCUCACGCCUGAUUAGCUUGUUGGUAAGGUAAAGGCUUACCAAGGCCACGAUCAGUAGCUGGUUUGAGAGAACGAUCAGCCACACUGGGACUGAGACACGGCCCAGACUCCUCCGGGAGGCAGCAGUGAGGAAUUUUCCGCAAUGGGCGAAAGCCUGACGGAGCAAUACCGCGUGAGGGAUGAAGGAUUUUGGUCUGUAAACCUCUUUUCUCAAGAAAGAAGUUCUGACGGUACUUGAGGAAUAAGCAUCGGCUAACUCCGUGCCAGCAGCCGCGGUAAUACGGGGGAUGCAAGCGUUAUCCGGAAUCAUUGGGCGUAAAGCGCCUGUAGGUUGUUUAAUAAGUCUGUUGUUAAAGACUGGGGCUUAACCCCAGGAAAGCAAUGGAAACUACUAGACUAGAGUAUGGUAGGGGUAAAGGGAAUUUCUAGUGUAGCGGUGAAAUGCGUAGAUAUUAGAAAGAACACCGGUGGCGAAAGCGCUUUACUGGACCAUUACUGACACUCAGAGGCGAAAGCUAGGGUAGCCAAAGGGAUUAGAUACCCCUGUAGUCCUAGCCGUAAACGAUGGAUACUAGAUGUUGCGCUUAUUGUGCAGUGUCGUAGCUAACGCGUUAAGUAUCCCGCCUGGGGAGUACGAUCGCAAGAUUAAAACUCAAAGGAAUCGACGGGGGCCCGCACAAGCGGUGGAGCAUGUGGUUUAAUUCGAAGCAACGCGCUGAACCUUACCAUCCCUUGACAUCCCUGUCGCGGAUCCAGAGAUGGAUCUUUCAGCUAGGCUGGACAGGUGACAGGUGCUGCAUGGCUGUUGUCAGCUCGUGUCGUGAGAUGUUCGGUUAAGUCCGGCAACGAGCGCAACCCCUGUCUUUAGUUGCCAUCAUUUAGUUGGGCACUCUAAAGGGACUGCCGGUGAUAAGCCGGAGGAAGGUGGGGACGACGUCAAGUCCUCAUGGCCCUUACGGGAUGGGCUACACACGUGCUACAAUGGCAGUGACAAUGGGUUAAUCCCCAAAAACUGUCUCAGUUCGGAUUGAGGUCUGAAACUCGACCUCAUGAAGUUGGAAUCGCUAGUAAUCGCGUAACAGCAUGACGCGGUGAAUACGUUCCCGGGCCUUGUACACACCGCCCGUCACACCAUGGGAAUUGGUUUUACCUGAAGACUGUGUGCCAACCGCAAGGAGGCAGCAGGCCACGGUAAGAUCAGUGACUGGGGUGAAGUCGUAACAAGGUAACC